CGGGGCUAAUACCGGAUGCUUGAGUGAACCGCAUGGUUCAAUCAUAAAAGGUGGCUUUUAGCUACCACUUGCAGAUGGACCCGCGGCGCAUUAGCUAGUUGGUGAGGUAACGGCUCACCAAGGCGACGAUGCGUAGCCGACCUGAGAGGGUGAUCGGCCACACUGGGACUGAGACACGGCCCAGACUCCUACGGGAGGCAGCAGUAGGGAAUCUUCCGCAAUGGACGAAAGUCUGACGGAGCAACGCCGCGUGAGUGAUGAAGGUUUUCGGAUCGUAAAACUCUGUUGUUAGGGAAGAACAAGUACCGUUCGAAUAGGGCGGUACCUUGACGGUACCUAACCAGAAAGCCACGGCUAACUACGUGCCAGCAGCCGCGGUAAUACGUAGGUGGCAAGCGUUGUCCGGAAUUAUUGGGCGUAAAGCGCGCGCAGGCGGUUUCUUAAGUCUGAUGUGAAAGCCCCCGGCUCAACCGGGGAGGGUCAUUGGAAACUGGGGAACUUGAGUGCAGAAGAGGAGAGUGGAAUUCCACGUGUAGCGGUGAAAUGCGUAGAGAUGUGGAGGAACACCAGUGGCGAAGGCGACUCUCUGGUCUGUAACUGACGCUGAGGC
rnacentral:rRNA from 1 species